GAUGAACGCUGGCGGCGUGCUUAACACAUGCAAGUCGAACGGAGGACCCCUGACGGAGUUUUCGGACAACUGAAGGGAAUCCUUAGUGGCGGACGGGUGAGUAACGCGUGAGCAACCUACCUUGGAGUGGGGAAUAACAGCUGGAAACAGCUGCUAAUACCGCAUGAUAUGUCUGUAUCACAUGGUACUGGACAUCAAAGAAUUAUCGCUCUGAGAUGGGCUCGCGUCUGAUUAGUUAGUUGGUGGGGCAACGGCCCACCAAGGCGACGAUCAGUAGCCGGACUGAGAGGUUGGCCGGCCACAUUGGGACUGAGACACGGCCCAG
rnacentral:rRNA from 1 species